GUUCAGUUCAUGUCUACCUUCCGCCUCCCUUCAACAUUAAUUUUCAAUCAGUCCGCCUCCCUUCCCUUUCACUUCCCCUUCCACCUUUAAUUCCCAAUCAGUCCUGCCUCCCCAACGCUUUAUCUUCUGAGAUCUCUUAUCUUCUUGGUGCGCCUAACAGAUCUGUCACCGGUGUGACCUCCUAAGCUCACCAGUCCACAACGGUUGUGGGGGAGAGAGAAGACAGAGGAGCAUGGCCGUCCAUGGCAGAGUGUGCCCGAGAAGGGAGUGUUUUUUGAGGGGGUCGAGCCAGAGAGAGGUGGCAAAUAGAUUCGGUGAGGCUUAACUUUCAAUCUCCACCGGGUCGACGGCGGGGAGACGUGCUGAGGCGGCGAGGUAGCAAGCCUCCAAAUUGCCAGCGGAGCGACGCGCUACUUCAUCCUGGCAGCGCAUAGAGACGACAGGCCGCCUGGAUGGAACGAAGGGAGGAGGUAGCUGGUAGCGAGUUCUAUCAGAGAAGCACUCAUGCGAUUAUUCUCAUUCUUCAGGCAAUAUGAGUCUUCUUCUUCAAUAUUCAGGCAAUAUGGGCCGUCUUCUUCUCCAAACCAUCUUCCCCGAAUCGAGCUGAUUCCUGAUAAACUAUCUUGCAAGAUGGUGGAACGAAUUUGAAGUCUUUAUUUAUUGUCGACACCCAUCAGCCAUCGUCUGCAGGUGUCGUCCGUGUUUGCCGGGACAGGUCUGCAGCCCUAGAUGUCUCCUCCCCUCUCCAAGUCUCCAUACCAGGUUCUCCCUGCAGCCUCUUCGUCGCAGAGUCUGUUUUGAUUCUGCCCCACCAUCCUGUUUUUGCAGUCUGGUUCUUAAAUUCAGAGAUUUAAAAUUUUAAAAAUUGUUGUACGUAGAACUACAUCAGUUGUCUGUCUUGGAAAAUUCAUGUAUUGGCUGAUGCAAAGCUUGAAUUAUAUAUAUUGUGUUCUAGAUACUAAAGCUUGAUACGAUUUGACUAUUGUAUUGAGGUUUUGCACUUAAACUGUACAUUAUUUUAGAGAAAGAUGAAUGGUUGUA